rnacentral:lncRNA from 1 species
GGGGGGGGGGCAGCGAGCCGCGGCGCUGGAAGGCGACGGCCCGGACACCGCUCCCUGACGAGCCCCCUUGCUUCCCAAACCAAGCUCGUCUCCGAAAACAUUCGUUUUCCUUCCCCGGGCUCAGACCGCAGGGGAAGGGAAGGUCGCGAGGCGGGCCCGGGGAGGCCUCGGGGGGCUCCCGGCAACUCGGGGGCGCCCCUCCCUACACGCCGCAAGCCCACGUGUGCACAUCGCGAACCCCAUUUUCAUUUUCGGUAAACAGAGGCAGAGGCUGACGCUUCUGGGAUGCCGGCAACUUCUCCAGAGCUUGCUCCGCCCCCUCGAUCCCCGACAGAGAGGAAGGGACGGGGACGAACCACCCCAGAGAGGGCGCCCGGCUCCGGGUGCGCAUCCGCGCAUCUUGCUGCAACCCUCCAGGUCGGACAGAUGUGUCCCGACUUGAGCUUCAGCGGAGACCAGGACCUAAACCCGCGGAGGGAGGGGACGGGUGGAGGGCUCGCCCCUGCCCUUUGUGCUGUUCUUCUGCACCAGUUCAGAGUGAGCAUCUGCAUCAUCACGAUCCUCCCGGACUCAGCGGUGACGGUGACCCCGCUCCAGCUAGGUUCCCAUGGCCACUCAGCAGGCCAUACUGCGGGCUCACCAGCCUUUGCUGGGUCUGAAUCCAAGACGAUCUCCUGGAAUCACUGCCAGAGCCCCGACUCUGAGAAGACCCCUGCCUGGUCCCCCACGCAGUGUCCUUAACUCGGAGGGAGAAUCGGGAUGCUGGCAAAUAAGGCUCUUGGGAGAACAUACCUUCCAGUCCCUUCCAAGCUCUCCCAAGUUUCAACCUAGUGGGUAGUCCUGUUUUAAUUCACAUGUAUUACCACUCCCAUCUUCUGUUGAAUCCACUUUAGUUUCCCUCUAAUAUGAAGAAAACUGUGAUUGUUAAAGUACUUUAAAGACACGUUUCCUUUGUGCAACCAUGAAAACAAGCAAAACCAACAUCCCAAUAGCUAAGAGGCUGCCUGAACCAGCAAAAGGCCUGUGCACAGGCAGCUGUCCCACCCACAGGCCUGGGGGUGUAGAGAAUUUCACCAGCCCCUCUUUACUUUGAAGACAGAGGCAGCAAUUACAAGAGCCAUAAAAUGUAACUUUAAAAGUCAUCACAUUUAGAUAAAUAGGAAACCUUGCUGUCAUCCCCCCUCCCCCGCCCCAGCUGUGCUUUUGAUGGGAGGAAGCUGCCUUUUCCAGCCUGACUUGAAAGGAAAGCUCAGGCUGCUCCCUGCAGCAUCUAUGUCCUGACAUUUCACUAAAAAUAGAUGCUGUUAGGGUCUUUCUUACAUAAUAUACAUGAAAUUUAUAUUUUCAUAUACGUAUGAAAUUUUUGUGUAUAUAAUCACACAAACUGUAAGAAACAG